rnacentral:rRNA from 1 species
AACGAACGCUGGCGGCAGGCCUAACACAUGCAAGUCGAACGCCCUAGCAAUAGGGAGUGGCAGACGGGUGAGUAACACGUGGGAACGUGCCUUUCGGUUCGGAAUAACCCAGGGAAACUUGGACUAAUACCGGAUACGUGCGAGAGCAGAAAGAUUUAUCGCCGAAAGAUCGGCCCGCGUCCGAUUAGCUAGUUGGUGAGGUAACGGCUCACCAAGGCGACGAUCGGUAGCUGGUCG